rnacentral:lncRNA from 1 species
AUGGUGUUUACCUGCUCGAGGCUGCCGGAGGACCUCCGCUGGUGCUUCGGGGAGCUUGCGAGGAAUUACGCGGAAGCACCCAGUCUGAAGGCGCGGCUCCGCGUCAUAAAACAGGCGAUUGCUAUCCUGGAGGAGGAAUUUUGGUGGCUUGACUACCCGGGAGUACAGACGCUUUUUGAGAAACUCCAGGCAAUGCGGAAGGAUUUGGCACGCGCUCUGCGCGCGGCGCCCGCCAGCGUCUCAUCAGCUGUUCCUGCUGCACCGGAAAGCGCUCCCGUCGUCGCUCAGUCAAGCCAAGCUCACGUUCCUGUCACCGCUCAGUCAAGCCAAGCUCACGUUCCUGUCACCGCUCAGUCAAGCCAAGCUCACGUUCCUGUCAUCGUUCAGUCAAGUCAAGAUCACGUUCCUGUCACCGCUCAGUCAAGCCAAGCUCACGUUCCUGUCGCUACUCAGUCGAACCAAGCUCACGUUCCUGUCGCUACUCAGCCGAACCAAGCUCACGUUCCUGUCACUGCUCAGUCGAACCCAGCUCACGUUCCUGUCGCUACUCAGUCGAACCAAGCUCUCGUUCCUGUCGCUGCUCAGUCAAACCCAGCUCACGUUCCUGUCACGGCUCAGUCGAGUCAAGCUCACUCCCCUGUUGCCACUCAGGCAGAUCCAGUCCCUGCUCCAGACGCCGCUCAGGCAGAUCCAGCUCCCGUUCCAGACACCAGCUCAUCGGCCCAAGUCCAUGCCCACGUUACCGCCAUAGUUCCCCAGUCCAAUCCAGUCCGUACCGUGGUCCCGGCUCCUGCUUCUCCCUCCCGGAGGAGGUCGGUCCAGCUCCGCCUUCUGCCGACCUCCCGGAGGAGGAGGUCGGCCCAGAUCCGUCUCCUGCCGACCUCCCGGAGGAGGUGGUCGGCCCAGCUCUGUCUCCUGCCGCCCUCCCGGAGGAGGUGGUCGGCCCGCUCCUGGUCCCUGUGGUUUUUGUGCCAAUGUGUGCAGGUGCAGCUCCCGGUGGUCCGGUCCCGGCCACGCUCGUCGCAGCUCCCGGUGGUCCGGUCCCGGACACGCUCGUCUCAGCUCCCGGUGGUCCGGUCCCGGCCUCGCUCGUCUCUGCUCCCGGUGGUCCGGUCCCGGCCUCGCUCGUCUCUGCUCCUGGUGGUCCGGUCCCGGACUCGCUCGUCUCAGCUCCUGGAGGUCCGGUCCCGGACUCGCUCGUCUUAG